rnacentral:rRNA from 1 species
AUUGAACGCUGGCGGCAGGCCUAACACAUGCAAGUCGAACGAGUGGCGGACGGGUGAGUAAUGUCUGGGAAACUGCCCGAUGGAGGGGGAUAACUACUGGAUACGGUAGCUAAUACCGCAUACCAUCGGAUGUGCCCAUAUGGGAUUAGCUAGUCGGUGGGGUAACGGCUCAGCUAGGCGACGAUCCCUAGCUGGUCUGAGAGGAUGACCAGCCACACGGGAACGGCGACACGGUCCAGACGCCUACGAGAGGCAGCAGUGGGGAAUAUUGCACAAUGGGCGCAAGCCUGAUGCAGCCAUGCCGAGUGUAUGAAGAAGGCCUUCGGGGUGUAAAGUACGUUCAGCGAGGAGGCGUUACUCGCAGAAGAAGCACCGGCUAACUCCGUGCCAGCAGCCGCGGUAAUAC